rnacentral:sRNA from 1 species
GAAUGUGAAUGACAUCUGGCUACAGCACCCAUGACCCAGGUGAUUUUAGGUUGAUUUUCUCACCUGGGUGGCUAGAAGGGAGUUCUUUAUCCCUCAUAAUUCCAAGUGGAGCCCUGCAAAAGCUGAAUACUUGGUCAAAAAGGGAAAACCUUCCAAAUGGAGGAGGCCCUGUCUUCAGUCAGAAAAUGAGUUUCAGAUAAGUGGAGGUGAGGGAGGAGUCCCUUUUGCU